AGAGUUUGAUCCUGGCUCAGGACGAACGCUGGCGGCGUGCUUAACACAUGCAAGUCGAACGAUGAACCACUUCGGUGGGGAUUAGUGGCGAACGGGUGAGUAACACGUGGGCAAUCUGCCCUGCACUCUGGGACAAGCCCUGGAAACGGGGUCUAAUACCGGAUACUGACCCGCUUGGGCAUCCAAGCGGUUCGAAAGCUCCGGCGGUGCAGGAUGAGCCCGCGGCCUAUCAGCUUGUUGGUGAGGUAAUGGCUCACCAAGGCGACGACGGGUAGCCGGCCUGAGAGGGCGACCGGCCACACUGGGACUGAGACACGGCCCAGACUCCUACGGGAGGCAGCAGUGGGGAAUAUUGCACAAUGGGCGAAAGCCUGAUGCAGCGACGCCGCGUGAGGGAUGACGGCCUUCGGGUUGUAAACCUCUUUCAGCAGGGAAGAAGCGAAAGUGACGGUACCUGCAGAAGAAGCGCCGGCUAACUACGUGCCAGCAGCCGCGGUAAUACGUAGGGCGCGAGCGUUGUCCGGAAUUAUUGGGCGUAAAGAGCUCGUAGGCGGCUUGUCACGUCGGUUGUGAAAGCCCGGGGCUUAACCCCGGGUCUGCAGUCGAUACGGGCAGGCUAGAGUUCGGUAGGGGAGAUCGGAAUUCCUGGUGUAGCGGUGAAAUGCGCAGAUAUCAGGAGGAACACCGGUGGCGAAGGCGGAUCUCUGGGCCGAUACUGACGCUGAGGAGCGAAAGCGUGGGGAGCGAACAGGAUUAGAUACCCUGGUAGUCCACGCCGUAAACGGUGGGCACUAGGUGUGGGCGACAUUCCACGUCGUCCGUGCCGCAGCUAACGCAUUAAGUGCCCCGCCUGGGGAGUACGGCCGCAAGGCUAAAACUCAAAGGAAUUGACGG
rnacentral:rRNA from 1 species